rnacentral:rRNA from 1 species
UACGAAGGGGGCUAGCGUUGCUCGGAAUCACUGGGCGUAAAGGGUGCGUAGGCGGGUCUUUAAGUCAGGGGCGAAAUCCUGGAGCUCAACUCCAGAACUGCCUUUGAUACUGAAGAUCUUGAGUUCGGGAGAGGUGAGUGGAACUGCGAGUGUAGAGGUGAAAUUCGUAGAUAUUCGCAAGAACACCAGUGGCGAAGGCGGCUCACUGGCCCGAUACUGACGCUGAGGCACGAAGGCAUGGGUAUCGAUCGGG